AACGAACGCUGGCGGCAGGCCUAACACAUGCAAGUCGAGCGAGGACUUCGGUCCUAGCGGCGGACGGGUGAGUAACGCGUGGGAACGUGCCCUUUGCUUCGGAAUAGCCCUGGGAAACUGGGAGUAAUACCGGAUGAGCCCUUUGGGGGAAAGAUUUAUCGGCGAAGGAUCGGCCCGCGUUGGAUUAGGUAGUUGGUGGGGUAAUGGCCUACCAAGCCGACGAUCCAUAGCUGGUUUGAGAGGAUGAUCAGCCACACUGGGUCUGAGACACGGCCCAGACUCCUACGGGAGGCAGCAGUGGGGAAUCUUAGACAAUGGGGGAAACCCUGAUCUAGCCAUGCCGCGUGAGCGAUGAAGGCCUUAGGGUUGUAAAGCUCUUUCAGCUGGGAAGAUAAUGACGGUACCAGCAGAAGAAGCCCCGGCUAACUCCGUG
rnacentral:rRNA from 1 species